CUUUCCUACGGGGGGCAGCAGUGGGGAAUAUUGCACAAUGGGGGAAACCCUGAUGCAGCGACGCCGCGUGAGUGAAGAAGUAUUUCGGUAUGUAAAGAUCUGUUGACAGGGACGAAUAAGCAAUGCGAAUAGUUUUGUGUAUGACGGUACCUGUUUAGAACGCUCCGGCUAACUACGUGCCAGCAGCCGCGGUAAUACGUAGGGAGCAAGCGUUGUCCGGAAUUACUGGGCG
rnacentral:rRNA from 1 species